rnacentral:rRNA from 1 species
GAUUUAAGAAGAGCUAAAUAAAUAUUGAUCAUAGAUAAAUUUUUUUAAAUAUUGCAUUUAUUUGAAAUAAAUGUUUAUUUAGGGGUGAAAUGCCUACAAUUCUUAGGAUAGCUGGAUUUAACUUAAAUGCAUUAAGUGCAGAAUAAAUUUUUGAACUUCAAAGUGUUAAGAAUUUGAAGAAAUUUUAAAUUAAAUGAGUUCUUUUAUAAGAAUUAAUUUUUCUUAAUAAUUUUAGAUAAAAAAAUUAAUUUUUAACGUAUUAAAAAACAUAAAUUAAAAAAUUUUUAAUUACAAAUUAUUUAUAUAAUGUUAAAAUAAGUAUUUAUAUUAAUUCUUCUUAAGGAACUCGGCAAACUUCUUUCUCGACUGUUUAACAAAAACAUAGCUUUAUGGUAUAUAUAUAAAGUUUUUCCUGCCCACUGAAUUUUUUUAACGGCCGCAGUACCCUGACUGUGCUAAGGUAGCAUAAUAAAUUGGCUUUUAAAUGGAGUCUAGAAUCAACGGAUAAACGGAGAAUAGCUGUCUUAAGAUGCUUUUUUAAAAAUUAAUUUAAAAGGUGAAAAUGCCUUUAUAUUUAUAUAGACAAGAAGACCCUUAGAAUUUUUAGAAAUAUUUUAUACCUAUCUUUUUGUUGGGGCGACAAGGUAACAGUUAACUUACCUGAAAAGUUUUUGACAUAUCAGUUAUAUUAGUCAAGAAUAAAUUACCUGAGGGAUAACAGCAUAAUAAUCUUUUUGUUUGUGACCUCGAUGUUGGAUUAGGAUGUUAUUUAACUAGCCGUUUUAUAAUAUUGUUCUGUUCGAACUUACCCUCCUACAUGAUCUGAGUUCAGACCGGCGUAAGCCAGGUCAG